GUAUUAUUGGAGACAUCAAAUUCCACACAAGGAGGGAACAUGUCUUUGCUUGCCAAAGAUCAAGAUGCCUGCAGCCUCUGCUCCGUCAUCAUUUCAGGGGGGUCCCUACCAGGGCACUCAGGGAGUGAUGGAGCUUCACGCCACGGCAAAGCGACAGUGAGCUUUUAGGGAUUGUCGUCCUAUUAUAGUCGAGGAGCUGAGGCUCAGACCCGUUGGAAGUGAGGACCAUGGAGUUAAAUGACGGGUGGUUUCCUGAGCUCACUUUCCCGUGCCUCUGCGGUGCUCAUUCUGUUCCCUGUGCCUGGAAUGCCUCUUUAUCUCCGAGUCCUGCCUACCCUUCAAGAUUCAGCUCAAGCCCCACCUUCUCCAGGAAGACUUCCCUGACCACCUGGCCCACAGGGUUGGUCUCCCCCCCUGCAUCUGGGUGCUCACUGGGCCAGGAGCACGCAGACCUGUGAAAUGUGAAUCUUUUACACCGACAUAGAAGUCCUUUUCUGGAAACUAGACUGUAAGCUCCUCGGGACUGGUGUCCUGCCCUGAGUCUCUUUGUAUUUUUUCUUCUCACUUUUGACUAUGGAUUACUGAUUUUUUUUUUUAAGAUUUUAUUUAUCCAUGAGAAACAGAGAGAGAGGCAGAGAUAUAGGCUGAGGGAGAAGCAAGCUCUGUAAGGGGAGCCUGAUGCAGGACUUGAUCCCAGGACCCCGGGAUCACAGCCUGAGCUGAAGGCAGAUGCUCAACCACUGAGCCACCCAGGUGUCCUGGAUUAUUGAAUUUUUACAAGCUUACACACUCAUGCUCACUGAGGUCUGGAGCCCUGGAAUGACAUUCUGUUUUUGCUGUUUUGGUUACAGCAUCUUAUCCCACUGCCCGGCUCUAGUAGACAUGUAUUCAGUCAGUUUUUCUUCCAUUAAACAGACAUGUGCUCAAGACCCACCAGGUGCAGACUCUAGGUGACUAGAGAUGAAGGAACCAGGUUCAUGGGGGGAACGGGGUGUGUAGCAGGGAAAACCAGAUAUGAACACAAGUAACUCCAGCCUGCUAGGUGGUGGGAUGGAGGUAGGUGUUCGGGAAUAGCACAAGCUGCCUGAGGGAUGUGACCUGCCUCUAGAGUCAGUGUGAAUGCGUUAUCAGAAAAGUGGAGAAGGAUGCUUGCUUGGGUACAGGGGACAAACAGCAGGCUUCGAGGAGCUUAAUAGGAUUGGGGGAUGAUUAGCCGGAGGAUGUGGCCAGAGAAGGAACUGGCUGGAGAGAGCCAGGAGAGGAAGGCCUUGAGGAAGCUCCCCUAACUCGGUGUUGGGCCAGUUUUCAGGAUUUUUGGCAGGGUGUGUAAUCUGUCGAUCUGAGAUGAUAGACAGGGAAGCCUCUGUGGGUGACAGUGACCUAAAUGUCAGUGAAUCGGGGGGCUGGUGAAAUACCCGCCAGGCAAUGACCGAGGUGUGUAAUAUGGCCAACCCCAAAUGGUCUGGAUUUGCAAGGGCUAUUUCUGUCCUGUCUGGGAGCGAGCCUGAAUCUCUGUGCCACUUCCCUCCUCCCGGGAAGCUGUCUGUCCUGUGAGCUGGCAAGUCCCAUGUUUUUGUGCCUGAAAAACCCUGCUCUCGUCCACCACAGGCGGCUCAUAGCUUUCAGCAGAGGAUUACUUAGAAUAACAAGUUAAUGACUGUCCUUAGAUCAGGCGAGGCUUGCUGGAAGAAGCAGGCAUGCCCAGAGUUCAUUUCACUCCAGUCUGGUGGGGGUGGGCUGAGAAAACACGUUGCAAAUUCCAUUCUAGGAAAAAAAAAAAAAAGAAAAGAAUUCUUCACCCAGUCAAAGCGGCAAUUUAGAAGGAGCGUGUGGGAACGGGGCGUCAUUUAAAAAUAUAAAAGCAACUGUAACCCUCUUCUGAGUGUGGCAGGGCAAGGGAGGCAGACCUACCUGGGGAGAUGGGGAGUGGGCUCUCGGCCGUGCUGUUCUUGGGGUCAACUGAUGCGGCCCCCACCUCCCGCAGGAAACAGCUGGGGGCUCGCGUGUGA